UGGGGAAUAUUGGGCAAUGGGCGAAAGCCUGACCCAGCAACGCCGCGUGAGGGAAGAAGGGUUUCGGCUCGUAAACCUCUGUCCUAUGGGACGAAGGAAGUGACGGUACCAUAGGAGGAAGCCCCGGCUAACUACGUGCCAGCAGCCGCGGUAAUACGUAGGGGGCGAGCGUUGUCCGGAAUGAUUGGGCGUAAAGGGCGCGUAGGCGGCCUGCUAAGUCUGGAGUGAAAGUCCUGCUUUCAAGGUGGGAAUUGCUUUGGAUACUGGGAGGCUGGAGUGCAGGAGAGGAAAGCGGAAUUACCGGUGUAGCGGUGAAAUGCGUAGAGAUCGGUAGGAACACCAGUGGCGAAGGCGGCUUUCUGGACUGAAACUGACGCUGAGGCGCGAAAGCGUGGGGAGCAAACAGGAUUAGGUACC
rnacentral:rRNA from 1 species